AAGGAGGAGAGAUUAAAAGGAACAUACUUUUCCUCCCCAUUUACAAAAUACCUCCAGUUGCUUAGAAAAAGAUUGAGGAAUUAAGAAUAGAUAUCAGAUAAAUGAA